UAUCAUAAAUAUAUAAUUGUAUUGAGAUGGUCAUCAUGAAUACGACACGAUUAUUUAUCGUGUCCUGUCAUGUCAAAUUAUCGUAUCUUAUUGGGUCAACUUAUUUUAUUAAUUAUAUUAAUAUCUAUUAACACGAAUUUGAAAGAGUCGUAUCGUACACACUUCGUAUAAUCUUAUUGUAACCCAUUUUACCACGUCUAAAUUGUGAUACAUUGCUACCUAUUUUUCAUUUGCUUAUCUGUAUCUAUGGCUGUAUCUCUUACAAACUAAGGCCCCACUUGAGCAGAAUGUGGACACAAGAAAAUCUUUGUAACAAUGAACAUAUCAAAUAUGAAGAUUUGAAAUUUGUAUAACAAUGUCAUUGGCAUUGUAGUCUCAUGAUGGACAGUUUUUUCAACAAUGUUGAAAGCAGUAAUUCGAGUCAAGCAUGAAAAUAAUUAAUAACAAAUGGGUUAAAAACUCUCUUGAUUCCAAUGAAUUUAUUAAAUUUUAAUCCUUAUAACCAUAAUUACCGCGCUCAUAAGUCAAACCUUUACCCUCUAACCUCUUAAACAAUUUAAGAAUUACAUGGUCAAAAACUAGGGAUGGCAAAAAUCCCCACGGGGACGGGUACCCUCGGGGAUUUUCCCCAUUUGGGGAGAGUACGGGGAUAAUUUUAUACCC
rnacentral:lncRNA from 1 species